UACGUAGGGAGCAAGCGUUGUCCGGAAUCAUUGGGCGUAAAGCGCGCGUAGGUGGCCCUGUAAGUCCGUUGUGAAAGUCAAAGGCUCAACCUUUGAAAGCCGAUGGAUACUGCAGGGCUAGAGUACGGAAGAGGCGAGUGGAAUUCCUGGUGUAGCGGUGGAAUGCGCAGAUAUCAGGAGGAACACCAAUAGCGAAGGCAGCUCGCUGGGACGUUACUGACACUGAGGCGCGAAAGCGUGGGUAGCAAACAGG
rnacentral:rRNA from 1 species